rnacentral:rRNA from 1 species
UGGGGAAUAUUGGACAAUGGGGGAACCCUGAUCCAGCCAUGCCGCGUGUGUGAAGAAGGCCUUAUGGGUUGUAAAGCACUUUAAGCGAGGAGGAGGCUACUGAGACUAAUACUCUUGGAUAGUGGACGUUACUCGCAGAAUAAGCACCGGCUAACUCUGUGCCAGCAGCCGCGGUAAUACAGAGGGUGCGAGCGUUAAUCGGAUUUACUGGGCGUAAAGCGUGCGUAGGCGGCUUUUAAGUCGGAUGUGAAAUCCCCGAGCUUAACUUGGGAAUUGCAUUCGAUACUGGGAAGCUAGAGUAUGGGAGAGGAUGGUAGAAUUCCAGGUGUAGCGGUGAAAUGCGUAGAGAUCUGGAGGAAUACCGAUGGCGAAGGCAGCCAUCUGGCCUAAUACUGACGCUGAGGUACGAAAGCAUGGGGAGCAAACAGGAUUAGAUACCCUGGUAGUCCAUGCCGUAAACGAUGUCUACUAGCCGUUGGGGCCUUUGAGGCUUUAGUGGCGCAGCUAACGCGAUAAGUAG